UUGUACUUUGUAGUUUUCUUACUCUAUGGUUUACCACAAUAAUUUAGCCUGUGUGUUUGUUAAUGAUUGUUGUUUGUUUGCUGUUUAUAUUUUAUACUGAACUACUGGAGACUGUACUGACUACUGAAUUUGUACUAUUAUAAUUUAAAAAAAUGGACAAAUUUAUCAUUCGAAAAGCGAAGGAUAAAAUGCAACUCGGAGCCACUUCCUAUCCUGAUGAUCCGGCUACAGUUGAAAAUGAGUCCUUACCUCCGGCUAAAAAAGUAAAAUUGCAAAAAAUAGUUGUCCAGCUCAAUCUUCUAGUCACUCAAAAUAUGAUAUUGGUUUGUAUAUCAAUUCCUUAAAAAAAAUAACUGAUGAAGAUAAAAUUGAAAUUUUAAGUCAUAUUUGGACUCCAGAUGCUAAAUAUAAUUUCCCAACUGUAGAUCAUGGUAAAUUUAAACGGACAUUUCAAUUGAAAUGGCUUGACUUAUUCCAGUGGUUGACUUAU